rnacentral:lncRNA from 1 species
CAGGCAUUUAUAUAGGUGAUACUGUAUUUCAGUCCUCUCUUUUAACCCCAGAAGCCCUAGACUGAGAAGAUAAAAUGGUCAGGUUGUUGGGGAAAAAAAAGUGCCAGGCUCUCUAGAGAAAAAUGUGAAGAGAUGCUCCAGGCCAAUGAGAAGAAUUAGACAAGAAAUACACAGAUGUACCAGACUUCCGAGAAGCACCUGCCAGCAACAGCUUCCUUCUUUGAGCUUAGUCCAUCCCUCAUGAAAAAAGACUGACCACUGCUGGGCAGCAGGAGGGAUGAUGACCAACUAAUUCCCAAACCCUAGUCUCAUUGGUACCAGCCUUGGGGAACCACCCACACUUGAGCCACAAUUGGUUUUGAAGUGCAUUUACAAGUUUCUGGCAUCACUACCACCACUGAUUAAACAAGAAUAAGAGAACAUUUUAUCAUCAUCUGCUUUAUUCACAUAAAUGAAGUUGUGAUGAAUAAAUCUGCUUUUAUGCAGACACAAGGAAUUAAGUGGCUUCAUCAUUGCCCUUCUACCUCAAAGAGAAUUUAUUCCAAAAUGCUAAGAUAAAUGGAAGACUCUUGAACUUGUGAACUGAUGUGAAAUGCAGAAUCUCUUUUGAGUCUUUGCUGUUUUGAAGAUUGAAAAAUAUUGUUCAGCAUGGGUGACCACCAAAAAGUAAUCUUAAGCCAUCUAGAUGUCACAAUUGAAACAAACUGGGGAGUUGGUUGCUAUUGUAAAAUAAAAUAUACUGUUUUGAAAA